rnacentral:misc_RNA from 1 species
AACGCACAUUGCGCCCCUUGGUAUUCCAUGGGGCAUGCCUGUUCGAGCGUCAUUUGAACCUUCAAGCUUUGCUUGGUGUUGGGUGCUGUCCGCAAGGACUCGCUUCAAAAACAUUGGUAGCAGACUAUCAGCAGUUCUGUGCAGCACAUUUGCGCUCCUUCUGAUAUAACGCGUCCACAAAAACAUCUAUCGUUUGACCUCGGAUCAGGUAGGGAUACCCGCUGAACUUAA